GCGCUGGCUUUGGCAGCACGUAUACUAAAAUUGGAAUGAUACGGAGAUUAGCCUGGCCCUGUGCAAGGAUGACAUGUAAAUUCGUGAAGCAUUCCAUAUUUUU